CGUGGAACCGGAGUAGGGGCUGGACUUUGCCUAUCGCUAGUGGGAGUUACCGCGGAGAGGCAAUUGACCAGCCCGUCGGGAUCCCAAGACAGGAAAAGAACAGACUGUAGGACAAUAAAAGGUCUGGGUGGGGUGAAAACGGAAGACACCGUUUAAGGAGGAUCUUCAGAGAAACUAAACAGCUCCUCGGAAUGGAUAGGAUUAGCAUUCCACGUUUCGGAUUGGGAAAAAGACUCAGAAGAGUUCAUUCAAGUGAUGGGCAACGACUUGAACCCAAGAAUAUUUGACCAGAUGUAUCCUAAGUACAUCAGUGCUGCAAACAGACAUCAGAAAAGAGCAGACUAGAACUACCACCACUGAAUAUGGGCUUAGAAGUUGUAGCUCUUUGUUUAUAUUAAUAGAUUUCUACGCGCAUUGAAAGAGCAGUCUCCUUUGGUUUGUACUACUUCCCCAAUUUCUCCAUUUCCCCAGAUGUGCCUGGCUCAUCAACACCACCACCAUAUAUAUACUCUGCUGAAACCACUGAGUCACCAAUGCUUUACUCUACUGAAAUCACUCUUGUUUCAAAGGAACCAGUGUCCUAGUUGUCAGAUCAGUGGCUUCUUUGGGGGUCGUCAAUUUCCUUGAGCUUUUUUACAGUUUACACAGUAAAUUACUCCUUUCUUUAAAAAAAAAUUCCCUAUUCAUUCAUAAAUCUAUGUUUCCCUUCUCUCUUCUCAUUGUAAACUCUUGUUCGUUUUCUGCUAUCACUUCUAUGAGGGAAUUCCUCUGGAGCAAUACUAGGCAGUGUGGUCCUUGUACCAGUACCAGUCAGGAAACUGCUGUUUAGUCCACAAAUUUGAGUAAGUAUCAAAUCAUGCUGACUUGCAAUCCCAGCACUCCAGAGGCUGAGGCAAAAGGAUCUGGAGUUUGAGGCCAACCUGUGCUAAAUAGUGAAUCCCAAGCCAAUCUGGGUUACAAACUAAGGCUCUCACUCAAAACAAAGCAGAGAUAAGUUCUAGAGCACUUUGGCAUAUCAGCAGUUUCCAAACACAUAAUCACUGGACACCUCUCAUUACACAGAAUUAGAGCAAAGAACAGCUCUCUAACAAGUUCUCUAACUUGUAUGAUGAGUUAGAGAUAACAUGGCUUGUCCUUGUCACAUGUAUGCAGUAAGACCAUAUGGCAAUGAAUGACAUUUAGGUUAUUUUGUCUCCUGCAACUUGAAAGGAAUAAAAGUCUGUGAAAAUGUAUUUAUUUACUCAUUGAUUUUCAGUCAUUAAUUUUAAUUGUGCUUGUUAUAUUGA